AAGCUGUGGUUAUUUCAUCUUUCUGUGCUCAUAGAGAGUUUGACUUGAUGGAUCACAUGCUAGAAUAAUUUUGGAGUCAACAGGGCCACCUUCCUUUCAGUACAGGUUGAGUGGUAGUAUAACACUCCAACAGCA
ensembl:snoRNA